rnacentral:misc_RNA from 1 species
GACGGUGCCAUGUUUAGAGACUUGAAUUUGGUACUUCUUACCAGUCCUCUCAUCAACGACAGUGAGAGUGCCCUGUAAGUUCUCCGGCGGAGAGACAUGAGCGGAGACACACUGGGCCUCCAAAACUGCAGGAGAAAUCGAGGACGCCGCAGCAAGGUGAGCUGCGAGCACGGCCAACCGGCCACGAGCGGACACGGAGGAUAAGGAAGAAUCAGAUUCUGACAUUGGUAGCUGGUUGGUUGGAUUGGAAGCGAAACCGAUAGUCGAUUGAUUACUUAGCUGUGUAUUAUUAUCUAAUUAAACGAAAGAAAUGAAGAAGAAGAAAGAGAUAUUGCUUUCUCUUCUGGAAGUCUUGAUUGAUCUGAACGGCCAGAGGAUAACGAAGGCGGCGUCUGCGUGUGGGUCAUUUUCUACGGGAAAAAAAAUAAAAUAAU